rnacentral:rRNA from 1 species
GAUGAACGCUGGCGGCGUGCCUAAUACAUGCAAGUCGAGCGAACAGACGAGGAGCUUGCUCCUCUGACGUUAGCGGCGGACGGGUGAGUAACACGUGGAUAACCUACCUAUAAGACUGGGAUAACUUCGGGAAACCGGAGCUAAUACCGGAUAAUAUAUUGAACCGCAUGGUUCAAUAGUGAAAGACGGUUUUGCUGUCACUUAUAGAUGGAUCCGCGCCGCAUUAGCUAGUUGGUAAGGUAACGGCUUACCAAGGCAACGAUGCGUAGCCGACCUGAGAGGGUGAUCGGCCACACUAGAGCUGAGACACGGUCCAGACUCCUACGGGAGGCAGCAGUAGGGAAUCUUCCGCAAUGGGCGAAAGCUUGACGGAGCAACGCCGCGUGAGUGAUGAAGGUCUUCGGAUCGUAAAACUCUGUUAUUAGGGAAGAACAAAUGUGUAAGUAACUAUGCACGUCUUGACGGUACCUAAUCAGAAAGCCACGGCUAACUACGUG